rnacentral:lncRNA from 1 species
UUCAAAUAAUUUAUUCCAAAGAUAUAAAUUUUCAUUAUUUUAUAGAUAAUUGAUUCUAGAUACCAGGUGGUCAACAAGUGCAUAACUAGUGCAAUAAUUAAUACACAGACGUGCCUCAAAUCACAGACCUGAUGUGUUCGCCAACAACCUCCAGCACCGCCGCCGCCGCCGUCAAAACAUUUGCCGCCGCCUCCACUACCUCAACCUCCGACAGUACCAGGCUCUGCGCCGCCACCAGUGUUGAUGACCGGCUUACUCCCACGUCCUCCAUCCUGGCCACCACCCGUGGAGAUGGUUGGGUUACUCCCACGUCUUCUACCUUCGCCAGUCAAUCCAUCAUCACCACCGGUAAAAGACAACCAUGGAUAUGACUGCGAUGGAUGCCGCAUGCAGUUAUGCAAAACAAGAACAAACUUGUUGGGGAUUGGAAAUUAAAGAGCAUUACCGCUGCUGCUGCCACCAGAGAGAGCUUCUACCAUCGUCGCCAUCUCUUCCUCUGCCUCUCUCAACAGGAAUUCUUGUAGGACUCUCUGUGACCUCCAAGUCUUCCCAUCUACAAUACUUCCAGGGGGCAAUAAGCUGAAACUUCCAGGAAGCAACACGGUGCGACUUCUGGUGGUUACCUCCUCAUUCUGUGGUGUAGGUUAG